GCGCGGCUGAGGGCGAGGCUGGUGCGGGCAGUGCGGCCGGAGUCGCCAUUACUGUGUGAAGAGCCAACGCUGCGAGUGGCUCCGGGGGAAGAGCCACACCGACAGGGCGGCCUCACUCCACUGUCCCCGUCCCCCUCCCCACCCCCCCAAGCCUUUGUUUUCUACAGAAAUCCCCACUCCCCCGCCAUCCCCUCCCUUCGCGAAACGAUAAAUUGGAAGUAGGUUAUUUUAACUGGUGAGCGAGCGGGCCCCCGGAGCGGUCGGACGUUGACUCUUCUCCCUCACUCCCUCUCCCCCCCGGGUUGUCUGAGUCGCGAAGCUCUGGGCGUUUGAGGCGAGUUAGUGUCGGCGGAUCAUGGCGUGCGGGGCCACACUCAAACGCAGCGUCGAGUUUGACGCCCUGCUCAGUCCACAGUCGCCCAAGAGGAGGCGGUGUAUGCCUUUAACAGGGCCCGGCACUGGGACACCUUCGCCCCAGAAGUAUCUGAAGACAGAGGCUGCGGCCUUUGGAGGAGAGAGCUCAUCAGCGCACAAACUCACCCCAGAACAAAUAUUUCAGAACAUCAAGCAAGAAUAUAGCCGUUUCCAAUGGAGGCGACAGCUAGAAGGAACUUUUAAUCAAAGUGAAACAAACUGUUCUGCUGAGGGAUCAUCUAACAAUUUGUUACUAAAUGCACCAAGUUCACCGGGGACAUUAUCAAAGAAAGAUCAGCCAUUGUUCACAUUACGACAGGUUGGGAUAAUUUGUGAGCGUCUCCUAAAAGACCAUGAAAGCAAGAUCCGGGAGGAAUAUGAACAAGUUCUAAACACAAAACUUGCAGAACAAUAUGAUGCUUUUGUGAAAUUCACACAUGACCAGAUUAUGAGACGAUAUGGAGAACGACCUGCCAGCUGUCAACAUUGAUUGUCCAUCCUUGAUUGCUCGUCAGGAUGGUGAUGACCUCUGCCUUGAACUGGUACAAUAUGAGUGAUGUGUCCUGAAGCAUUUUGUGCUUGAAUGGGUGUUGGCUUUCACCUCAAGUCAGCUGCUGUACUUAUGAAAACUAGUUUUGGUGCCAUGUUUUUCCCACCUUCAACUUGAGGGAUUUUAACUCUUCAUCGCUGGCCCACCCUACCUCUUGUAAAAAUGAAACAAAAACAAAAAUCUGACUUUGUGCUGUCAGUACAGAGAUUUGUCUACUUUCCACUGCUAACUCUGCUACUGUGAGAAUAACCUGCCAUUUAUUUCCAGUUCAAGAAGCUGAGUACCAAGCAACAGUUGUUAAACCUGCCUUUUUAAGAAGUGGCACUGAAAAUGGGAAUGUUACCUUCAAACCUUUUUGAAAGGAUUAAAGUUCUGUCACAAGUGAUUUAGUCUGAAUUUUGAAUGUCAUUAAAGUAGAAAUUUGUUUCUCUCUGAUCUGAAAAAUAGUGCACUACAAUAUUACUGCAGAAAUCUCCCUUGUAGAAUAGAUUUUAUUUUUUUAUUCAGUAGUGUCAGCUGCAAACAUUUUGUAUUGUUAUUACCUGACUGCAGGUGGUAUGUGCGUAUCCAAUCAAUUAAUUGGAUUCAGAGUUUGAGUUGGGUAAACUACAGUAGGAUAUAAAUUCCACAGAUGGACUGAAGCAGACUCGGUGUGAAAUAUUACCUGUUCUUACGUGGUUAACUGGCUGAUCACAGGAAUUGUACGCAUGGGUAUUGCCAAAUGGAUGAUCUGGUUUCAAAUUGGGUAUGGAGUGGUUUAUGUCAAGAGUUUGAUGGAACCAACUUUACCAUGUGAACAUGAAGAAAAACAAUCACUUGUAAACUGAUGUAAAGCUGUUUGUCAUUGUUUUGGUUAAAAUUGUCUAAAUGGCCUUAAAUACCCUUGUGCUUUUUCUUUAAGCCUUGUUUUGUGGCGGUGAUCUGUUUAAAUGAAUGUAAUCUUUUUACCAUGUGCACCAGCAGUUUUAAAUUGGCUCUGAAUUUGUGCCAACAAUUUAAGAAUGGGGAAGGUUUGUAAAAUGAGCUGCCUUUUUUAAGUUGAAGAUUCUUCUAAUUCUCACUGGAACACGUAUUGGGCUUGAGCUUGGUCGGUAUGAUUUUCUUGCUGUCUCAAAUACAAUGUAUUUGAUCUCAAGAUGCAUGAGAACCAUAGGCAAAAAUUCAGAAACCAGAUUAUUUGGUAUAUGUUCUAGUAAUUUGGUGUGGUGCAGACUUAAUUUGAACGCUUAACCUGAGAGAACUCCAAAUCCAACUGUUGAUCAUCCAUAUCCAAACGGUGGGGUUGAGGGAUUUUCACUAUCCCCUUAACAGAUACAAUAAUGAAUAGUCGCAUUGCAGUGACGAUUGUCACCACAAUCCUUUGGGGGGGGGAGAGAAGGAUAUGAGGUUAGUUUAGUUAGAAUGAAUUCUAAUUUUUUUCCUUAAAAGCAUACCUAACCAAAGUGCAACUUUUACCUUGCUCUUUGUACAUUUUUUUGCCCUGUAUAGUACUAACAAGCUUAGUUUUAAAAAAAACUUGACAUACACCAGACAUCUCCUUUAUUCUAUUUUGAUGUAAACAUUUAAUAUUUUGAAACCUGGGGAUUUGAAAACCUGUUUGCAAAUUGAUUUUGCAACAUGCUGUAGUCUUGGAUUUGCUUGUUUGCCUGUUUUUUUAAUCUACUUAUGGUUUAGUUGACUUCUGUUAAUAAAUCUAGUGGCCUUAUGAAAACAGCCAGGUAAACCUGUUUUUGGCCUCAGAGUCAAGGUUCCCAGAUAUUCAUUAUCAGUGAUAUUAGUGUUUUUAUUAAUGAAAACAUAGUUACUUUGUGGAGUGAGAGUUCAUAUUGGCAGUAGUUACAUACCUCCUUUGCAUGACUAACUACACACAUUUUCAUGGUGAUGUUCAUUAUAAAAGGAAGCAUGCUGUUGAGUUUGGAGCUUGCACUUUUCUGACACCUUGCCAUGUAGCUGCAUAUGUGAAGGGUAAUUUAGGAUGAUUUGUAUUAUAGUGAUGCUUUUCAGUUGUGUUCUUCCAUUUUGCUAUUUAAUGGGAAUGGCAUUUACAUGAUUUGAUUUACACUUGUACCAUUGAAAUUGGAUAGUUAAGAUUAAAACUUUAGUUAUUCAGUAUUGUUGUGAAUGUUUAGUUAUACCUGAACGCUAAGAUCAAUGUUAUAGUUUUCAGUGGUGUAACAGGAACAACAAAACUUACUUUGGUUAUUAGCGCUAAUGAUAACGGUUGCAAGUACAGUACAGUCUAGGGCUACUUGAAUGAUUGGGCUGGGGGUGAAUAUUGAUCAGGUUGGUCAGUGUAUUAGUAAUUGUUUAUAUAUGCUUGUCCUUCUGUACCUUCCUGUAUCCCCUGACAAUAUCCUUUUUCACAAAUGUUCAAGUUCCCCAAUGGUAUCCAAUACAUCAUGUAUGAAUAAUUCUAAUGUCACUUUUAAUCUGAAUAUUCUGUUAUUUCCAGGCUAUAGUUGUGCUCAGUAGUUUUCUUUCCAAUUGGACUAGAGCCCCAUUUUAAAAAAAAUCACUGCAACAGGAGUUUUCUAAAUAAUGCACUGGAUUCAUUAAAUCAUUUUACUCUUAUAAACUUACAUGGAAAAAUUAAAGUCCUGAGGUAAUUAGGUCAAAAAUGAGUUGCAUCUGUUGGUUUGUGAUUGGGCACUCCUCUUAUCUUCCAGUCCUUUACACUGUAAUUUGAAACUUUAUCAUAGGGAAAGGCUAAAAUGAGGAUGCUAGAUAUAAAUAUUGCUGUAACUGAACAGUGAGCUUUGCUUUCAGAAAGUGGUUUCUGCAAAUCCUACUGUGGGAGAUUACAAAGAGGAAUUUAGUAAGUUGAUUUUGGUGGUAGUAACACAAGUGUUUGUGUGCAUGUAUUUAAAACCUUUCCUGUAUGUCCUUAUACUUUCUACUUUCUCCCUUCUAAUUUUUCUACAAUCCUGCUGUGGUACCUUCCCCCAGAGUAUUACAGAGGUCACAAAAUAAUGGCAGUAUAAAGUGAUGACUGAUUCCUGUUGCAUUAGAACAUCCAGCAAGUUUACUUGCUGGAUAUAAAUGACAGAAUAAAGGUCAACAUUGAGACUUGUAUGUAGCUUUUAAUUUUUGGGAGUUAAAAAAAAAAACUUGUCAGUGCUUAGAACUAGUUUUCUUAUAGGUGUUUGUUUGGAAUACAUAUUGGAAUCUGAGAUCUAGGUUUUAAAGAACAGAAGGAACACAGACUUGUUCUAAACACUUUCAAACACUUUCACGGAAUGUCAUGACUUUAGAAUGUGUGCUUACCUAACAUACAGAACAGACAGUGGCAAAGCUAUUGCCCCUCUACAUAGCAAAUAAUAGCCCUUCUGUUGAGGUAAAAUUUGCUAUUUGUGUUCCAUGUAAUAGAUGUACUGUUUGUGGAGACCAUGCCUUUGUCAAGAAAGUUACUUUAAUUCACCAUUCAAUGCCAUUUGUUUCAUUGAAAUUCAUUAAACAAAUACAAUACCAA